CCCUAAAACACUCUGAAACUGUUCCUCAAAUCGAGACUAUGCUGAGGUCUAGUAAAUCUUUAAGCGGGUAUCAGAGGAGCUAUCUAUUCGGAGGUACCCCCAACCUUCAAAUAGAGCACUAGAUGGAUGGGAGGUCGGGAAGGGGAGGAGGCAUCAGAGGAUACCUGGGGCUUGAGAACCCUCCACGCCACAGAGUUCUGGGACUAAAUCAAUGCACACCUGGAACUCUUCAUCAGAUAGGAGAAUAGCCAUGGCCCGGUACAGCUUUAAGACACUGUAACUCUGGCAAAUAUUCUCCGAUCCGGGCACUAUUUGGGAAGCAAAGGAUAUAUAUUGUGAGGGAUUAUGGUCCAGGGAAAGGUUUUCAGUCAGACAUUUUGUGUGUUAUGCCUUUAGGACUGUUAGGGCACAGCAGGGAGUUGAUUUUGUUAUCUGGGGAUAAUGUAACCAAGUGCCCAAAAAAAGUAGUGCUUUGGAG